rnacentral:rRNA from 1 species
AACCACUUCGGUGGGGAUUAGUGGCGAACGGGUGAGUAACACGUGGGCAAUCUGCCCUGCACUCUGGGACAAGCCCUGGAAACGGGGUCUAAUACCGGAUACUGAUCCGUCUGGGCAUCCAGACGGUUCGAAAGCUCCGGCGGUGCAGGAUGAGCCCGCGGCCUAUCAGCUUGUUGGUGAGGUAGUGGCUCACCAAGGCGACGACGGGUAGCCGGCCUGAGAGGGCGACCGGCCACACUGGGACUGAGACACGGCCCAGACUCCUACGGGAGGCAGCAGUGGGGAAUAUUGCACAAUGGGCGAAAGCCUGAUGCAGCGACGCCGCGUGAGGGAUGACGGCCUUCGGGUUGUAAACCUCUUUCAGCAGGGAAGAAGCGAAAGUGACGGUACCUGCAGAAGAAGCGCCGGCUAACUACGUGCCAG